rnacentral:rRNA from 1 species
GAUGAACGCUGGCGGCGUGCCUAAUACAUGCAAGUCGAGCGAACAGACGAGGAGCUUGCUCCUCUGACGUUAGCGGCGGACGGGUGAGUAACACGUGGAUAACCUACCUAUAAGACUGGGAUAACUUCGGGAAACCGGAGCUAAUACCGGAUAAUAUAUUGAACCGCAUGGUUCAAUAGUGAAAGACGGUUUUGCUGUCACUUAUAGAUGGAUCCGCGCCGCAUUAGCUAGUUGGUAAGGUAACGGCUUACCAAGGCAACGAUUCGUAGCCGACCUGAGAGGGUGAUCGGCCACACUGGAACUGAGACACGGUCCAGACUCCUACGGGAGGCAGCAGUAGGGAAUCUUCCGCAAUGGGCGAAAGCUUGACGGAGCAACGCCGCGUGAGUGAUGAAGGUCUUCGGAUCGUAAAACUCUGUUAUUAGGGAAGAACAAAUGUGUAAGUAACUAUGCACGUCUUGACGGUACCUAAUCAGAAAGCCACGGCUAACUACGUG